rnacentral:Y_RNA from 1 species
GACUGGUUAAAAGAUAAUGAGUUAUCUCAAUUGGUUAUUUACAGUCAGUUACAGAUCAAACUUGUUGUUCUACUCUUCUUCCUCCCCUUCUCACUACUGCACCUGAAUAGUCUUCA